AUGAAAACGACCAAUUUGGGUGCAAUCCAAUAGUUUAGCCCUUCACACUCGUACCCGUAUACUGUAUGGGUUGAAAAUAGCAGAUUUGGGCACUAAUAAGCGCCUGAAUUGGACUGUUGUGGCUGUUCAGUAACAUGAUAUACAUCACGUCGGAGUUCUGGCUCUGCGCUUCACAGCGCUUGUAUGCGUUUUGACAGACAGACAUUCUGAAUUUGAGCACCGCGCGCGACAAGAAGUUGCCCCAUCCCUCUCUGCAAAAUGUUUGUUGUCUGAGCGAGGGAAAAGCAGUAAAUUGGGAGGACUCGAUGGAUUUUGAAAGAUGAGACGUUGAGGAUUAUAAUACAUGUCGCUUAGAUGUCAUACAGGCAAGCCAAAACCCUUACUGCAGAGGCCUCCCAGGUCUAUCACUCUAUCGCUCCUCUCUACCACUGGACAAAAUUCUAAGCCGGCCAUGCCCCCUAGGUAGACCGGGCUCUCUGCAGCCAGCCGGAGGUCCGGCCGCUGGGACAGGUGGAAGAUCUUUGGAGGGGGGAACGUGUCCCAAUCCCCCUCCUCUCUCUCCAGCCAGCACUCACUACGCCGAGAAG